rnacentral:rRNA from 1 species
AGUGAACGCUGGCGGUAGGCCUAACACAUGCAAGUCGAACGGCAGCACAGUAAGAGCUUGCUCUUACGGGUGGCGAGUGGCGGACGGGUGAGGAAUACAUCGGAAUCUACUUUUUCGUGGGGGAUAACGUAGGGAAACUUACGCUACUACCGCAUACGACCUACGGGUGAAAGCAGGGGAUCUUCGGACCUUGCGCGAUUGAAUGAGUCGAUGUCGGAUUAGCUAGUUGGCGGGGUAAAGGCCCACCAAGGCGACGAUCCGUAGCUGGUCUGAGAGGAUGAUCAGCCACACUGGAACUGAGACACGGUCCAGACUCCUACGGGAGGCAGCAGUGGGGAAUAUUGGACAAUGGGCGCUAGCCUGAUCCAGCCAUACCGCGUGGGUGAAGAAGGCCUUCGGGUUGUAAAGCCCUUUUGUUGGGAAAGAAAAGCAGCAGGUUAAUACCCCGCUGUUCUGACGGUACCCAAAGAAUAAGCACCGGCUAACUUCGUG